AUGUUCCAGGACGAUGGUUCAGCUUCAUGGCGGAAAAGGAAAAAACAUUUCUUCAUCUUGAGCAAUUCUGGCAAGCCAAUAUACUCUAGGUAUGGAGAUGAGCACAAGUUAGCUGGGUUUUCUGCUACAUUGCAGGCGAUUGUUUCUUUUGUUGAGAACAGUGCUGACCAUAUCAAAUUUGUGAGAGCCGGAAAACAUCAGAUAGUUUUCCUUGUCAAAGGUCCUAUAUAUUUAGUUUGUAUAAGCUCCACCGAAGAGUCAUUUGAAGGAUUGAGGGGACAACUAGAGCUCAUGCAUGGUCAGGUGUUGCUUAUUUUGACAAAGUCGGUCAACAGGUGCUUUGAGAAGAAUCCCAAAUUUGAUAUGGCACCACUUUUAGGUGGCACAGAUGUGGUUUUCCGAUCUCUUAUACAUGCGUGCAGCUGGAAUCCUGCUACAUUUCUUCAUGCAUACACAUGCCUUCCCCUCGCCCAAGCAACAAGACAGGCUGCUAGCGCAGCUUUGCAGGACAUUGCUGAUUCAGGAGUUCUAUUUGCACUAUUGAUGUGUGAUCACAAGGUUAUUAGUCUUGUGGGAUUGCAAAAUGCAACUUUGCAUCCUGAUGAUAUAUUACUACUUGCAAAUUUCAUAUUGUCCUCCGAAUCUUUUAGGACUUCGGAGUCUUUUUCACCCAUAUGCUUGCCAAGAUACAGUCCUAUGGCCUACCUAUACGCUUAUGUUCAUUUUUUUGAUGAAAAUACUUACUUGACUCUUCUUACUCCGAGAUCAGAUGCCUUCUAUGAUUUGAAAGAUUCAAGGGCCCGUAUUCAGGAUGUUCUAUUGAAAUCGAAUGUCCUUCUUGAAGUACAAAGGUCUUUACAUGAAAAUGUACUUCGUGUUGAAGAUGUCCCUAUUGAUCUUUCUUCUCAAUUUACAUCAGCUCCUGCACAGUCUUCUCAAGGCCUAAAUUCUCAACCGUUGUCUUCUGAUGAGGCAAUUGGUGGACCAGCUGGGCUGUGGCAUUUUAUAUACAAAAGUGUUUAUCUUGACCAGUAUGUAUCAUCUGAGUUUGCCUUGCCUAUAAGAAAUCCAAAGCAACAGAAGAGAUUGUACAAGGCUUAUCAAAAGGUUUAUGCUUCCAUGCAUGAUAAAGCAACUGGUCCACACAGAACUCAAUUCAGAAAAGAUGAGGAUUAUGUUAUGUUUAGUUGGAUAACCCAGGAUUUUGAGCUGUAUGCAGCCUUCAGUCCACUGGCUGACAAGACCUAA
rnacentral:rRNA from 1 species